GGUUCGGGUCUGCGUUUUGAGUUCGGGAUUUCGGUGGCCAAUCUAUUAAGGGCACAUGGGGGAUGUCUUGGCGUUAGAAGGAGAAGGGCGUGGAAGUCUGCGAAAAGCCUGGGGAAGUUGACACACAAGCGAUGAUCCCGGGGUUCCCGACAACAGCACACUGAAUACAUAGGUGUGUAUGUAACAACCUGGUGAACUGAAACAUCUAAGUAACCAGAGGAAUAGAAAGAAAAAUCGAUUCCGUCAGUAGCGGCGAGCGAAAUCGGAAUAGCCCAAACCGAGAAGGUUUCCUUCUCGGGGUUGUAGGACUUCAAUAUGGGAUUGAGACGUGUUAGUGAAACGACUUGGAACGGUCGGCCACAGAGGGUGACAGCCCCGUACGCGAAAAUAUUGUCUCACCUUAGAAGCACCUGAGUAGGUCCAGUCACGUGAAACCUGGACUGAAUCCGCGGGGACCAUCCCGUAAGGCUAAAUACUCUCUAACGACCGAUAGCGAACCAGUAGCGUGAGUGAAUGGUGAGAAGAACCCCUGCUAGGGGAGGAAUGUGAACCUGAAACCAUGUGCCUACAAGCGGUCGGAGCACUAUUUUAAUGUGUGACGGCGUGCCUUUUGCAUAAUGAUCCGGCGAGUUGUGGUAACCGGCUUGGUUAAGUUCUGACGGAACGAAGCCCAAGGGAAACCGAGUCUGAAUAGGGCGUUGGUCGGUUGCUGCAGACGCGAAACCUGUGUGAUCUACCCAUGGGCAGGUUGAAGCGCGGGUUAAACUGCGUGGAGGACCGAACCCACUUAGGUUGAAAACUGAGGGGAUGACCUGUGGGGAGGACUGAAAGUGUAAUCAAACCAGGAGAUAGCUCGUUCUCUCCGAAAUAUCUUGAGGGAUAGCGUCGAGCCACUAUUUACCGGGGGUAGAGAUACUGAAUCGGAUGGGGGCCCUUCCAAGGGUACCCCACCGAACCAAACUCCGAAUACCGGUAAAAUUAUCUCGGCAGUCAGUCCCUGGGGGAUAAGCUCCAGGGUCGAGAGGGAAACAACCCAGAUCGCCUGCUAAGGUCCCGAAGUACUACUUAGUCACUAAGGAAGUUGAAGUGCCGUGACAGCUGGGAUGUUGGCUUAGAAGCAGCCACCAUUUAAAAAGUGCGUAACAGCUUACCAGUCGAGCAUUUCUGCGCCGAUAAUGAACGGGAGUAAGUAGUACACCGAAGCAGCGGAUUCUAGAUUUAUCUAGAGUGGUAGGAGAGCGCCGAUGACCAGAUACGAGCCGUACGGUAACGAGCGGUGUCGGGGUCAUCGGGUGAUUAUGCCGGAAUGAGUAACGAUAAAACAGGUGAGAAUCCUGUUCGCCGAAAGCCUAAGGUUUCCUGGGGAAGGUAAAUCCGCCCAGGGUUAGCCGGUACCUUAGUCGAGGCCGAAAGGCGUAGACGAUGGAUAGAAGGUCAAUAUUCCUUCGCCACAAGGGUACUUCGAUGCGGGGACGGCGUCCAGAAAGUGAGCGGUACGAAUAGAAAUGUCCGUAGCGAAAACUGAGGUGUUGGGGGAUAAAUGACCUGACAUAAGCCAAGGUUGAGCUCGAGAGCAUCCAAGUUCUCGAAGUCAUUGGAAGGACGUCCAAGAAAAGCCGCUAAGUUAUGUGCCCUGUGACCGUACUAAAACUGACACAGGUAGGCGAGAUGAGAAUUCUAAGGCGCUCGGGAGAACGGUGGUUAAGGAACUCUGCAAAAUGGCCCCGUAAGUUCGCGAUAAGGGGCGCCUCCGACGGUUCACGCUGUUGGAGGCCACAGAAAAUCGGCUCUAACGACUGUUUAUCAAAAACACAGGUCUCUGCUAACACGCAAGUGGAUGUAUAGAGACUGACGCCUGCCCGGUGUUGGUAGGUUAAGGAAGACGGUUAGUCCUUCGGGACGAAGCUGGCGACCGAAGCCCCAAUAAACGGCGGCCCUAACUAUGAGGGUCCUAAGGUAGCGAAGUUCCUUGUCGGGUAAGUUCCGACCUGCAUGAAAGGCGUAACGAUUGGAGCACUGUCUCAACCACCGACCCGGUGAAAUUGUAGUUGUGGUGAAGAUGCCACAUACCCGCGGUUAGACGGAAAGACCCCGUGAACCUUUACUGUAGGCUGCUAUUGGGUUGAGAUAUGUCUUGUGUAGGAUAGCUGGGAGACUUUGAACUUUGCACGCUAGUGUAGAGGGAGUCGUUGUUGAAAUACCAGCCUGGUCAUAUUUUAAUUCUAACUUUGAUCCCCUGAAACGGGGCAAAGGACAGUGUCAGUCGGGCAGUUUGACUGGGGCGGUCUCCUCCCAAAGAGUAACGGAGGAGUGCAAAGGUACACUCAGCCUGGUCGGCAAUCAGGCGUAGAGCGUAAAGGUAUAAGUGUGCUUGACUGCGAGACUCAUAAGUCGAGCAGGAACGAAAGUUGGCCUUAGUGAUCCGGUAAUCCCGAAUGGAAGGGUUAUCGCUCAUCAGAUAAAAGGUACUCCGGGGAUAACAGGCUUAUCGCAUCCGAGCGUCCACAGCGGCGAUGCGGUUUGGCACCUCGAUGUCGGCUCAUCACAUCCUGGGGGUGUAGAAGCUCCCAAGGGUUUGGCUGUUCGCCAAUGAAAGUGGUACGUGAGCUGGGUUCAGACCGUCGUGAGACAGGUCGGUCCCUAUCUGCCGUGGGCGUUCGAAUCUUGAUGGGAUUCAACUUUAGUACGAGAGGAUUUAGUUGGACGAAGCUCUGGUGUACCAGUUGUCGCGCUAGCGGCAUGGCUGGAUAGCUAACUUCGGAAAGGAUAAACGCUGAAAGCAUCUAAGCGUGAAGCCCGCCCAGAGAUAAGGAUUCGUAGACAUUAGUCGAAAGCCCCCUGGAAGACUACCAGGUUGAUAGGUUGGACGUGUAAGUGCAGUAAUGCAUUAAGCAAACCAAUACUAACGGGCGAAAGUUUGGCCACCGAU
rnacentral:rRNA from 1 species